rnacentral:rRNA from 1 species
GACGAACGCUGGCGGCGUGCUUAAUACAUGCAAGUCGAACGGAAAGGCCCUGCUUUUGUGGGGUGCUCGAGUGGCGAACGGGUGAGUAACACGUGAGUAACCUGCCCUUGACUUUGGGAUAACUUCAGGAAACUGGGGCUAAUACCGGAUAGGAGCUCCUGCUGCAUGGUGGGGGUUGGAAAGUUUCGGCGGUUGGGGAUGGACUCGCGGCUUAUCAGCUUGUUGGUGGGGUAGUGGCUUACCAAGGCUUUGACGGGUAGCCGGCCUGAGAGGGUGACCGGCCACCAUGGGACUGCGGUAGGCACCAGACUCCAACGGGAGGCAGCAGUGGGGAAUCUUGCACAAUGGGGGGAAGCCUGAUGCAGCAACGCCGCGUGCGGGAUGCCGGCCUUCGGGUUGUAAACCGCUUUCGCCUGUGACGAAGCGUGAGUGACGGUAAUGGGUAAAGAAGCACCGGCUAACUACGUG